GACGAACGCUGGCGGCGUGCUUAACACAUGCAAGUCGAACGGAAAGGCCCUGCUUUUGUGGGGUUCUCGAGUGGCGCACGGGUGAGUAACACGUGAGUAACCUGCCCUUGACUUUGGGAUAACUUCAGGAAACUGGGGCUAAUACCUGCUAGGAGCUCCUGCUGCAUGGUGGGGGUUGGAAAGUUUCGGCGGAUGGGGAUGGACUCCCGGCUUAUCAGCUUGUUGGUGGGGUAGUGGCUUACCAAGGCUUUGACGGGUAGCCGGCCUGAGAGGGUGACCGGCCACAUUGGGACUGAGAUACGGCCCAGACUCCUACGGGAGGCAGCAGUGGGGAAUAUUGCACAAUGGGCGGAAGUCUGAUGCAGCAACGCCGCGUGCGGGAUGACGGCCUUCGGGUUGUAAACCGCUUUCGCCUGUGACGAAGCGUUAGUGACGGUAAUGGGUAAAGAAGCACCGGCUAACUACGUG
rnacentral:rRNA from 1 species